CAUGUCGCUGGGGGCUCUGCCGCCUAUAUGUACGGCCUCACGGACCUCCUCCCCUACCUCCAUUACUCUCUGCUUGGUUCGGUGAAGAAGGGAAGAGGAGGAGAGGAAGGGGUGUCAUGAGACGCGCACGGCGUGGAACGGUCAACGUUGAGGAGUUCGGUCGUGCCACGCUGUGUGCGUCUCAUGGGCUCUCUCCGAUGGAAAUCCGGAGUGCCUCCGAGGCGUCGCCGGUACCUGUCGUUAGAGAUUUUCUCGCCAUUAGAUAGAUCAACUCCCGCAGCACGUAGCAUCCAUGGCAUGGUUACUCAUGGGGCGAAGGUACAAAUCUAACCCAAGGGUUCUGUUCCUCUACAUAUAUAUAUAUAUAUAUUAUACUACGUACGGAACUACGCGAACGUAGUUUACGGGGUCUUCUUGAUACAAGGAUGGCCCAUCCAGAUGGAUGUUAUCGUGCAUCUCUGACUUGGGUUGUGGUCUUCGUCGAACCCCCUUGGGUGUCUACGUACAGCCACAGGCAUUAAUCCAUGUGAUCUUCUGUCUUCUCAUGGUAACUCAACAGUUCUAGUCAUGGCUAGCUGUGUUGUCCUCCAUGAAAACUGGGUUUCAUCACUUUUUUCUUUGAGCUCUUUUUUUUUAAAAGGUAGCAGGUACAUAAGAUAUGCAAGGAGUAUAUAUAUUGGUUACCUCUGCGACCACCGGAAGAGGCUUUCGUUUGAGUCCCAUGCACCUGGUGUCGCGCUCGCCGCGUGCCAGCGGACAGGAUGGACUCCGAGUUGAGAGCGGACGGCAGAUCUGACGCUCGUAUAGAAUUGUGUGCGCGAAGCAACAUCAACGCUCAUUUGAUUACGUCACGUAUGACGGCAAAGUCGGGCCGGACGGAAGGGGGACAGACUUGUAUCUUUCGCGCGAAUGAAGGAUUCACCUUCCUUCGCGCGAACUCACCGUUGGAUCGCACAAUGGUUAUUUCGAGAUCUGCGUAGGCAGAUGAACGGAAGAUUCGGAGUGCUUUGAGAUCGGGGGAAGUCAGAUUUUCUGUCGGAAGUACGGUGUACUUUUUGUUGUUGGUAAGUUGGACGAUAUAAUUUCAAGAUGGACGGUGUGAUGAUCGUAUCUCAACGUCACGCCUGGCGCGACAGGAUAUGCAUCAACCGAGAAUAUUUUUAGCAGCUGGCGUACCGCCGAAUCUCACACGAUAUAUAAAUAUUUCCUGUACCUUAUCGUGUACUAGCUAUAAGAAGAAAUUGUUUAUUGCUGUUGGUCUC